ensembl:lncRNA
AUGGCAAGACUAGCAGCAUUUCUUCUUGUUCUUAAAACCUGUGCAUCUGUGAGAUCUACCAUGUUUUCUCAAGAAUGCUCUGCAGACAAGGAAAUACCCUGCGAGAGUCUGAGCACCUCUGCGGGCUACACGUACCCGCUGCCGCAGAACAUGAGAGACUUGAGUACAAAGCAUUGUGAACAUGGAUGGUAUUUUCCGAAUGGGACAUUUCUUGUCGAUUCAACUAUGGGUGGCAGAAAAAAUAUGUUAGAAAUUGUAGUUGAUGUAACACCUGAGAACCUGACGGUUAUCACCUGCGAGAACCUGCAAUGGCAACUUCACUGUGUCGAGUUUAACUGUAUGAUCACUUACACAGUUAUAGAUUGGAACACAAACCACAUGCACAAACAGGAUGGCACUGGUAAAUUAAAUCGUUUAGCCUUUAAUAGGCCUAGUCUAAAUUUCAUCUGUGAUUUUGCUGCUUUAUAUCUUUACCUCUGUAUUUCAGGGGGAUUCCUUAACUGGGGGAUUGCUGUGAUUGGGAUUGUGGCUGUAAUUGGAACCAUUUUUGCAUCUGUUUGCUAUUGUUAUCGAAAAUCUGGAAAUAGGUGGAUUUUACAAAAUUGUGUUUAGUAGGUAAGAUUACUGUUGACAUUUUAUCUAAGUAGAAAUAUUUGCAAUAUUUGUGUAGAUUGCAUUAUAUUUUUUUUCUUGGUCAUAUACAAAAGCUAUCUAUUUUAAAGGAAGUUUAUUUUAUUUUCUACCACAGGACAAAUUAAUUGUCUGGUGUUUAGGAUCUGAAACAAUAUGCCUUCUGUACCCAAGGUUGCUCCAAAAAGAUUUCCCCUGUAAUUUCUUUCCACUCAUUAAUUUUUCUUUGGCUGGCUUUUAUAAAUGUUAGCUAUUGUAUUAAUGAGAUGAACUUAACACAUAUUGAGAACUAUGUAAAAUAUGUAAUUUCUGUCAUCAGUUGUAAAAUUUUUACUUGAAUUAUUUUUUCUAAAUCAUUAUUUUAACAUUGUAUUACAUUUUUGUUUAUCUUUUGCCUUUGCUAUCUAGUUGUCUUGUUUCUCUUUUAAUAAAAUCUGAUUGUGAAGUUACGUUUUACA